rnacentral:lncRNA from 1 species
CAAACCGGGACUAAAGGGCUACGCGGCGGGCAGUGGUGGUGGCAACCGUUCGUAUCCCCCUUUAGUCCCGGUUGGUGGCUCAACCCGGGACUAAAGGACUAACACGUGGCCUACCGUAGUGGUGGCGACGGUUGGUAUACCUCUUUAGUCCCGGUUGGUGGCUCAACCCGGGACUAAAGACCCAAACGGUUUGCAUCCCACGUCGUUUCGGGCGAUGAAAAGCACGAACCGAAGCACAGUCG